AGCUCCAAUAGCGUAUAUUAAAAUUGUUGCGUCUAAAAAGCUCGUAGUUUGAAAACUUGCCUUGGCUUACAACAGGUUCCUAACUGGGGCCGCCGUUUGUUGAGAGCAAAUAUCGAUGACUGUUUUUGCCGACUUCAUUGUUUGGCUUAUAAGAGUUAUCAAAUAUCACUUUGAUUAAAUUAGAGUGCUUAAAGCAAGUGUGUUACUUGGAUAUAAAUGCAUGGAAUGAUGGAAUAUGUUGUUGUUCUAUUUGUUGGUUUUUGAACGAUAAAAUGAUUGAAAGGAACUGUUGGGGGCAUUCGUAUUGUUGUGAGAGAGGUGAAAUUCUUAGACCACAGCAAGACGAACUACUGCGAAAGCAUUUGCCAAGAAUGUUUUCA
rnacentral:rRNA from 1 species